rnacentral:rRNA from 1 species
UACGAUACGAGUUUGAUCAUGGCUCAGAACGAACGCUGGCGGCAGGCCUAACACAUGCAAGUCGAGCGCCCCGCAAGGGGAGCGGCGGACGGGUGAGUAACACGUGGGAAUUUUCCUCAAGGUACGGAACAACUCAGGGAAACUUGGGCUAAUACCGUAUGAUGCAGAGAUGCCAAAGAUUUAUCGCCUUGGGAUAAGCCCGCGUCAGAUUAGGUAGUUGGUGGGGUAAUGGCCUACCAAGCCUGUGAUCUGUAGCUGGUCUGAGAGGACGAUCAGCCACAUUGGGACUGAGACACGGCCCAAACUCCUACGGGAGGCAGCAGUGGGGAAUCUUGCGCAAUGGACGAAAGUCUGACGCAGCCAUGCCGCGUGAAUGAUGAAGGUCUUAGGAUUGUAAAGUUCUUUAGCCUGUGACGAUGAUGACGGUAACAGGAGAAUAAGCCCCGGCUAACUUCGUG